rnacentral:rRNA from 1 species
AGAUUGAACGCUGGCGGCAUGCCUUACACAUGCAAGUCGAACGGUAAAGGAGCAAUCCUUGAGAGUGGCGAACGGGUGAGUAAUAUAUCGGAACGUGCCCAGUCGUGGGGGAUAACGUAGAGAAAUUUACGCUAAUACCGCAUACGAUCUACGGAUGAAAGCGGGGGACCGAAAGGCCUCGCGCGAUUGGAGCGGCUGAUAUCAGAUUAGGUUGUUGGUGAGGUAAAAGCUCACCAAGCCGACGAUCUGUAGCUGGUUUGAGAGAACGACCAGCCACACUGGGACUGAGACACGGCCCAGACUCCUACGGGAGGCAGCAGUGGGGAAUUUUGGACAAUGGGCGCGAAGCCUGAUCCAGCAAUGCCGCGUGCAGGAAGAAGGCCUUCGGGUUGUAAACUGUCUUUUGUACGG